rnacentral:rRNA from 1 species
AGCGAACGCUGGCGGCAGGCUUAACACAUGCAAGUCGAGCGGGCGUAGCAAUACGUCAGCGGCAGACGGGUGAGUAACGCGUGGGAACGUACCUUUUGGUUCGGAACAACACAGGGAACUUGUGCUAAUACCGGAUAAGCCCUUACGGGGAAAGGAUUUAUCGCCGAAAGAUCGGCCCGCGUCUGAUUAGCUAGUUGGUGAGGUAACGGCUCACCAAGGCGACGAUCAGUAGCUGGCUGAGAGGAUGAUCAGCCA